AGCAAAGGAGGUAAUGUCCGGUUCUGAGGCAGUUGACCAAUUAAUAUCUACACAAGCCGACUAUCAUAUGAGUGUUAGAGGUAAAUCUGAGUGGAGAUAGAAGACCUCCAUCAUAGGUUAUGUUUGCAUAGCGAGGAAAGGAAUGAUGUAUAAUACUUCUGUAGGAGAAUUAACUUGUCUAGGGCAAAAAGCUUAUGAUGAUGAUACAAAGAAUACAACUUGGUGGUCGGCUUCAAAUAUCUCAGAACCAUCUAACCCGUUUGCAAGAUAUGCCAAUUUAAAGGGCGUAUGGUUUGAUCUAUCC